AAUUGAGUCUUCACCCCAAGGGUCAUGUUGCUGAAAUACAUUCUUUGCCACAUGCUGGUGAUUUCACUGGUGAAAAUGAGCCAACACCAAUUCUUGAUGCAAUUGAAAGUCCCAUGAACCUAAAGAAUUUAUCAACCAAGGAACUGAAACAACUAGCUAAUGAAAUUCGAUCAGAAUUAGCUUUUAUCAUUGCAAAAUCUCAAAAACCUUCAAGUUCAAGUCUGACUGUUGUGGAGCUAACUGUUGCUAUUCACCAUGUAUUUAAUGCCCCUGUGGACAA
rnacentral:misc_RNA from 1 species